rnacentral:misc_RNA from 1 species
CGACUCGCUCGACAAGUCCGCCAUAGCCGGCACAAAUGCCAGACAACCCUUCAGACUCACGAUAAGGUCCUCCCUGGAUAGGAUAGGAUAGGAUAAAUUCCUAGUUUAAAGUCGUUCAGGCCUGGAAAGACCCAUGUCGACUUGGGGCCGCCUACGAGGGCGAGCCGCCAGACGCCUCAGCGGCUACAGAAGGGAGAGGAGCGUACAGCUGUGAGAAGCGAUAGGAAGCGAGGAUAAAACGAAGCAAAGGCCGGAAGAAGCGAGGAGAAAAGAUCUUGUCCAUUUUGAGGUUCAACGAGCCGAUUUCGUGCCGGAGCUGCUGGCGCUCGUCCGUGUAGAGCGAGCACUCGAGGAUGUAGUGCUGGCGGGUCUCCACCGCCUCGCCGCACUCGCAGAGUCCCGUCCCAAGGCCCAUCCUCGCCUUCGAUGAACCCAAGUCGUUGAAGUCCAGCCGGAGCCGUGCGAGGAGGAUGGUGUGAACUCUGUCGAGGGAGUGUAGGGCACGGACGAAGGGUGGUCCGGGUGAACGAGCGUCGACAGCGCGAAGACCGGCGCCUGGCGAUGAGGAGAGUGUCCAACGACGAGUCCAUUCCGCGAGCAGGACGGCGCGGUGAGCCUGCUUGAGCAACGAGAGCGAUUUCGGCAGCAGAAUGCCUCCUUUGACGAGCCCAUCGGGGCCCGCAAGCGUUGAGGAGUCGAGUCGACCGAGGCGAGCGACUUCGCGCUCGAGGCAAGUCGCCCGCUCCUCCUCGUCCUCCUCCCACCCGCUCUCGUCCGCUGACGACGAGCUGCUGCUGCUGCUGUGCGGCCUGAACACCUUCAGACCGCCCCUGCGCCCGCCGCGCCCGCCCGCAAGCCCUCCCUUUGACUUCCCCACCUCGUCAUCUCCAACUCCCGCCGCCCGCUUCGCUUCUUCGUCCGCCAGCUCAUUUCCCGGCACCUCGAGAUGGCCGGCAAGCCACUGCAGGCCCCUCCUCUCCUGCGCCGAAACGCACGACUGCCGACGCGCCAGCUCGACUCUCCAGCAGCGAGCCGUCCGAAUACGCGGCCAGGCCUCCCGCGGCAUCGAGCGCGAGGACUUCCCGCCCGUGCGACUUGACCGACGCCUCUUUCGACACGUCGACGACGAGCCGGCAGCGCGGCGGGCUCGCCCAUGGCGCGAGAGGUGAGUAGGCGAUGGGUUCGACUCGGGUGCGGGGCUGAAGGAGAGCCGGGAAGGAGUGGAGGGCGAGGUGGAUCGGGGACGGGUGUUUGGCGGGCAUGGCGGGUCGGGCGAGCCGGAACCGGGCAUGGAGCGCUGAGUCUGAGGGACUUGAGGCGAGGCGUAGGGCGAGCCGGAGAACUUGGUGGGUCAGGCGGAGGUCGAGCGGGAGGAGGUUCGCCUCGACUUCCAGCGCGGCGAGGGAGGUCGUCCGGUACCCGCCCGUGACGAAGCGUGCAGCAGCCUCCUGUACCUGCUCUAGCACCUUACUGCCGAUCGUUCCCGGCUUGUACCACGCAGCCGCGCACCACGUCAACCGCGGCAGCACCACCGCUUCGACAAGCCGCCUCACAUACUUCGCCUUCAGCCCGCCCCGGCUCUUCGCCAGCAACCCAACUCCGACCAUCGCCCUCGACGCUUUUGCAGCGCACGACGCGAUGUGCUGCUUGAAGCACGACCUUCGGGUCGUCGGGCGACCGGUCUCGCGCGGUCAAGAAGCGAGUGACGAGGGUAUUGGAGGGCUCGAACAAGCUGUGGUCAGGACGUUCAAGUCGUCCACCCAGCCAAAUGCUGUCGAGGUGGGCGUCUCGCAGGCGUCGAGCGCACCGGAGUUGUAGAGGAGGAACAGAAUUGGGCUGAGAGCGUGCACGUCCGGCUUGUCAUGAACGACUCGACCCAGCGGAGGAGCGAGCGCGACAACCGCGUCUUCGGCAGAUCGACCAGGUCGAGCGCCGAAAUGGUUCCGCGGGAGGAGCUUGAGCGAGUCUGCGAGAUGAGCCGGUACGACUUGGUCCGGCCAUUCGCGUUCGACCGCGCUGGCGUCAUCGGCGUCGUCUGGGUCUGCUUGGUAGGAGCGGCUUGCGGGCGGUUCUGCGGAGGUUCCUGCUCGGCGACUUGCGGCUCGACGACGGGCAAGAGGACGGGCUGGAGGAGCGCAAGCUUGUCGGUGGGCGAUGUUGCUACCCUCUUCACGACCUUCCACAAAGACGCCUCGUUGACCUCCUCAACUUCCGCCCUCUCCGCCCUCCUCUUCUCUCGCCUGAUUAAAGCCUUCGCCUUAUUCGUCGCCACCUUCGCCGCUCGCGUUGCCGUAUCCGCCUCUUCUCCCUCUCCGACUCUCGCCUUCGUCCGAUACGCCCGAGUCGUCGCUCGUCUCGCGUCGUCCGCGGCUCCAGCGACUUCGGCACUCCACCAGCAAUGUGCGAAGCGUGAAUGUGACGGCUUGGCGAGCGGGACGGCGGACGACACGGUCUCGCGGAGCAGCAGGUCGAGCGUCUCCGCUUCGGCGUCGAUGUCGGUAGGUGUGAGGAAAUCGUCGGGUGCUGUGGACGAGGUGGCGAGCCUGGCAUACGUGCGGAGGAUGGCUGCUGGGUCGGCUUUACGGAAGAGCCGACGAGGGUAUGCCGGUGAGCGAUCGGUUUGCUCGAAGGCGAGGACGAUUCCCGAGCACCAGAUCAAGGACUCGACUCGACCUCGAUGACGCCCAUGUCGCCUCUUCCGCCUCGUGCAAAUGGACGAGUCCCGCAUCCUCAAAGGUCGACGCCGACAACGUCCCUCCACAUGACCGGAAGUUGCGAGAAGGCGGAGGGCGGGAAACGCGGGGAGACGAGCGCAGCGGAUCGCGGGUUCUUCUCCCUCAGCGCCAACCUCCUCGACUCCCUCCCCUUCGGCGCUUCCUCGCCCUCCCCUUUCUUCGCCUCACUCCUCUUCUCUUCCGUCUUCCUCCCGUCCUUCUCGCUCACGCCUCCCGCCGCUCCAUCCGUCUCCGUCGACAUGUCCUCCUCCCCCUCCGACUCGCCUCUCGCCUCCCUUCCGCCCUCUUCUUCUUCCACAUCCAUCGACCAGUCCGCCACUGGCUCGGGUCGCAGGUCGUCGACUGUCGGGGUCGGCGAACGAGGGAGCGGGAUCAGGGAUGCCCUGGACGGCGUCUCGAGGAAGCGAGAAGGGCCGUCGGCUGAGGACUCGUCGACCAUCAUCCGCGACGAGUUGUUCGGCUUGCCUGCGCUCGCCGCCGUGCCGAGGAACCCGGAGAUCAUUGUCGCGUACCCAGUCGAGCGGGGUGGCGUGCGAGGCGGAGCCGGGAUAGUCGGAACGGGCGAGGGGAAGGGAGCGGCGGAGUUGUGGACCGGGGUGGAUGUGCGGGUACCGGGACCGAGAGCUCGACCAACCACGAUCCAUACGACUUGUCCGCCCGCCGCGACAGCCACCUGGCUCCGGCGACCUUUCCCUCGCCGAACCACUCCUCCACCUUCUCUCUCACCUCCACCUCGUCCGCAUCGACCGGCACCCAGUGCAGCACCAACAACGUUGCCUCGACCGGCAUCUUCACCAAGAUCUCGGCCGAGUAGGCGGAGAGGGCGCGGCGGAGGAGGUCGGCAGCCGAGGGUCCUCGCGUGACGAGUUGGGAGGAUACGGUGUUCGGGGAGGGCGCGGAGGAAGUGCGUCGCGGGGAGGUCUGCGGUACCGGCGAUGAGGGAGGUGCGGGGCGCGGGUUUCGGGGGAGCGGAAGGGCGGGGCGCUGCUGGCGGUUCGGGAGGCGCAUCUGGACGAGCUGCGGCUGCUGCAGCGGCGUAGGAACGCACUGCAGGCGCUGGCGGAGGGGGAGGGUCCGUAGCGUCUCGCUGGAGGAUUGCGAAGCGGUUGCUCGAUUCCCAGGUGUCC